rnacentral:rRNA from 1 species
AUGUUGAAUCGUGGAGCAGUAAGCUGGUGCAGUUGCAAGCAGAGCGUCGUGGCGGGAUCUACAUGUGAAGCGGAGUACAUGGCAGCCUUGGAGGCAGCGCAUGAAGCAAUAUGGAUGAAGGAGUUCAUCACCGACCUAGGAGUCAUACCCAAUGCGUUGGGGCCGAUCACUCUCUUCUGUGACAACACUGGAGCUAUUGCCCUUGCCAAGGAGCCCAGGUUUCACAAGAAGACCAGGCACAUCAAGCGUCGUUUCAACUCCAUCCGUGAAAAUGUUCAAGAUGGAGACAUAGAUAUUUGCAAAGUACAUACGGAUCUGAAUGCCGCAGAUCCGUUGACUAAACCUCUUCCACAAGCAAAACAUGAUCAACACCAGAACUCUAUGGGUGUUUAA